CGUUUAUAGCUUUAUAGUCAAAAAUAUCAGAGCGCAAAUCUUCUUUCCAUUUUGAUUAGAAAUCCCAGAGCUUCGAUUAGAAAUCCAAAAGGUAGAAGACGAAGCUCAAACUUCACCUAGCGUCAUUGCCCAAACCCGAUCGGUCACCUACAUGCCCCGACCCAACGAUGGAGCUCUGAGUGCCAAAACAUAACCCCCGGCGACGGAAUCAGACAGCUCGUAAUGAACACCGUCGAGCAGGUGAUGGAGUCUCUCGUCGUGAACGAGAGUUGCAGCACAUUUUGCGAGUUCUGAACACCAAUGUGGAUGGAAAUCAGAAGAUCAUGUUUGCUCUAACCUCCAUCAAGGGUAUCGGUCGCCAUAUAGCCAACAUCGUCUGCAAGAAAGACAACGUCGACAUGAACAGGAGGGACAUGCUUGGAUCAGUAGAGCUUCAAGAAGUUGAAGGAACUGAAAGAGAAGAAGACUACAAAUUGUAACUAUCUCAGAUAGGAAGUUACCAUGCAAGUGAUUCUGACUCAGAUGAAUUGGAAGAGGGUGCAAAGUAAAGGCCAACUACACUUUCAUUUCAAAAUUACUUUGAAGGUCAAUCAGUUGGUUCAGGUUGCACAGAAGUGCUACAGUAUGAUUGCUGAAAGUGGAUCAGAUGGGGUUUCUCAACAGGAUCUACAAGCAAAUAGUAAUUUGGUUCUGACAGUUGGGCGGUAGCUCGCAAAGAGUUUGGAGUUGCAGUCGCUAAAUGACUUGGCUUUUCUAAAAGAUAUGUGAGAUAUUUUAUUGCAUUCAUGGACGUGAUUGUUGAGUUAGAAUAUAAUGUUCAGUUUUUAUGUUAUGUAUAUCUUUAUACUUGAAUUUUUUUUUUAGUUGCUAACUUUCUAACUUUUAAUAGAUUCAGAGGUUGUGAACAACAUGAAAGAUUUGAUCGAAUUCUGCCAGGAAAACAAAGUUGGCCCAAUUGGUAUUUUCCUGUUUUUCAAUUCCUCUUUCCAUCUUGUAAUUCUCUGCUGCUGCUUUGCAUGGAGUUGAGCAUAUUGUUAGUAAUUUCUUGUUCAAUUAGUUGUAUAUUUGUAUUCCGGCACCAUCUUAGACAAAUUCUUGAACAAACCAUAUGGUUUUGCCACUGAUAUCCGCUUGGUAUUGCUUGUAGCUUUAAUUUACUCAUUCUAUGAGUUAACUAUCUUCUGGUGAAGUAGUUGUAGUGUUCAAUUUGGAGCUAAUAGGCAUGCUUCUUGAGUAUUAUGUUUAAUUAAUUUAAUGGAGGUUUUGGACAUGGUGGAUCUGGAGUUGACUAGAAUCAGCUUGUCGUCGUCUUCACAUCUUUCUUGUAGGAAGUAAUGUUGCUCUUGUUUCUUGUAUUUGAUAUAUAAUGCGGUGAAGUGGGUAUUUGGCUACUUAUUUCUUGCUCUCAUUGAUUCUUUCUCAUUUCCUUCCUCCCUCUUUGUUGUGCCAAACUUUUUGUGAGCUCCUGUGUUUUGCUUGUUGCUUGUUUCAGUUGUUGAUUCUAUUUCUUUAUAUUGAUUUCUUUGAUUGACCUUCUGCUGAAAAUUGAGGAGGGCUUGCAGGUUUAUCCUUGACAUGCGAAUGCAACCAAGCUUCAUAUGCAGGAAAUGGAGCAGUUAGCAAGUGUUCAGGGCAUGCCAACUGAUAGGAACACAUUUAAUAGGGUAAUAACAACCAGCACAUGGCUAGUGGAGGAGCUUUGAGUGGCUCUGCACAAGCAGCUUUAGCGCUGACCAAUUACCAAAAUCUGCUCAUGAGGCAGAACUCGAUGAAUUGAAAUGCAAAUUCUCUUUUUUUAUUCUUAAACGAGGAGUGAUUCUUAAACGAGCUCUCAUCUCAAGAUUAUGUGAGAAUUUCACUUUUUAUUAUUAUUAUUCUUCUA